GUAGGUAAGUUAUAUCAAACAUCUUCGCUCUUCAUGGGAACCGUCACUAACAUGUCUUUCAGGUGAACCUGCGGAAGGAUCAUUACAGUGUUAGGCUUCGGCCUCAUUCACACCCCUUGUUUAACCUCUGGUUUCUUUGGCGAUGUCAUGAACUCGUCAAACUUUAACUCUGAUAAUGCGAUAUUGUCCGAGUGAGAUUGAAUUAUCAAAACUUUCAACAACGGAUCUCUUGGUUCCAGCAUCGAUGAAG
rnacentral:misc_RNA from 1 species